ACAUACGACCAUAGGAAAUUGAAAACUGGCUACCCCGUCAGAUCUAGCAGACAUAAACAAUUUUCCGGCGAGUUAGUAGGCAGGUGGGUGACCACUGGCGAAUCCUCGCUGUUGUAUGUU
rfam:Setosphaeria turcica Et28A unplaced genomic scaffold SETTTscaffold_1, whole genome shotgun sequence.